rnacentral:misc_RNA from 1 species
GUGAAUCUCAAGACGGGCUAGACAGCGAGGACAACAUCAAUUAUGCCGUAUGUAAUGAUCAGUACACAGAUCAGACUGGAGACAGGACCAACAGUGUGUGGAGAUGAAUGGAGUGACCCAGAGCUGAUGGAAUAUCUGGGUGCCAGACUGACCAAAACUCUGGGAAACAACUUACACAGUGCGAAUUAUUCUGAACAAGCUAGAGAAGAGAGGAUACAAGCUUAAAGCUAUGACUGGCUUGGGACAGACUUGUAUUUGGACACUACAUAAGGAACUCGAUGAUGAAUGAAAGAAUGUGAUUUUGUAAACAGAUGAAAGCUAUAAGAGGGGCCAAAACUAGUUGAAAUGGAGAUUUAUCAUAACUCAAAAAGAAAAAAAAAACAUUGUUAUUUACUUGUAUAUUAUACUUAAUAUAUUUAUGUGAUGAUCAUUUUCAUAAUAAAAGAUAAAAAUAACAGAACUGUCCAAAUGAAGAAUACCUAAGUUCAUGUACAUGUACAGUCAAGCUUUUAUCUCAUGGGGUCUAAUAGAGGCUGAUGAUAUGUGGGUGCAUGCAUGGAACCUUGAAAUUGAGAGAACAAUAAACAUUCUUUGGAAGG